CUUUUAUUGUAUCAGUUGUGUGAGGUGACUCUAAGGCUGGGAACAAUGUUUGCACGUGGCGUCAUUGUCCUUCUCUGUGUGCUGGUGGCCAUAUCUGAUGGAGCAAAGGUGCCAAAAUGUGGUUACCCAGUUGGAGCAUGCCCAAUGAACUAUUCACCUGUGUGUGGAACCAAUGGUGUAACAUACAGCAAUGAAUGCUUGCUAUGUGCUGCAAUGCAGACAUCGAAAAUAAGGAUCUUAAUCCAGAAGCAAGGCGAAUGUUAAAUAAACAUCUGCAAGAAUGACAUGAUAAUUCAGCUUGGCACACCUUUUGUCAAGCUUUAUUGUACUCAUUCAUCAUGGCCUGAUUUUGUAAUGGUUUAAUCCAAAAAUAAAUGUUGCAUAUUGAA